UGACUACAGCUGUGAGUGUGUGAAUGUCCUUCAACACCCCUUUAUACAAAUGUAGCACUAGGACCUGCAGAGCUUUCAGUCGCCAUGGCAUCGCGCAUGCUCCAAGGUCCUUUUGCCUUUUUCAUCAGAUAUCACGUCACCAGGAACUGAGCCUUUUUAAUUGGUACUCUACUGGCCAAAGGGUUCCCCUGAAACUAAAAGUAAGACACGAGUAGAGGCAGAGUACAUUAUGCAGAGCAGGACACAGCUAGGUCAAUCAAGAUGUGGAUGAAGGACCACCAGAUCAAGAACCUGUCAUGACCAACCCUGAACCCCAUUGAAAACCUUCAAAAUUUGCUAAAGAGGAAGAUGGAUGGUCACAAGCCUUCAAACAAAGCCAAGCUACUUGAACUUUCGUGCCAGGAGUGCCAUAAUGUCAUCCAACGGCAAUGGGAGAGACUGGCUGAGAGCUCAGACCAGGGUUAUUCCACCAAAUCUUCCUAAGUUAAAACAUUAGAAUUUUGUUCUUGAAAAAUUAGUUACUUUUCUUUGCA